CGAGAGGCCACCAAUGAAAAUGCGCGGCGGGACCUUCCUCUCCGUCCUCUCCGUUUCCACGCGCGCGCGCUCCUCGCAGAGGCUGGCUCCCGGCAGGAGGCUCGGAAGCGUCCCGGGUGCGUGCCAAGCGGACGUGCGGGAGCGCGCGUUCAGGGCCUCUCGUCUGCCUUUUCGAGAUUCCCAAAGAUGUCAACUCAAGGACAUACUUGGGCCCGUCAGGUGAAGAAAGAGGGUGAGGAAGAGGACCCCCUGGACCUGCUGAUCUCCCGCUCUGGCUGUGCUGCUUCCCACUAUGCAGUGCAGGAGUGCAUGGCCCAGCACCAGGACUGGCGACAGUGCCAGCCACAGGUGCAGGCCUUCAAGGACUGCAUGAGUGAACAGCAGGCAAGACGGCGAGAGGAGCUGCAGAGGAGGAAGGAGCAAGACAGUACCCACAGCUGAGCUCCCAAACCAUCUAUCCCCAGAGCAUGGCCUGCAGAAACUAGCACCCGGACAAAUCCUAAACAGUGGAAGUGUGGGCCAAAAGAGGAGGAAAUACAGGUCAGAUUGAGGAUCGGACUCCAAGUGUAUCUUGUUCUAGAGCCUAUGCUGUUUUCUGCUCUGCUCUUUCACAAGCAUCUGGUGCCUAGUAUGAUGCUUAACACAGUAAGUAACCACAUUUACUAUGUAAACAUUACUGUACUUUACAAAAGGAGAUUAACCAGUGGAGGUGCCCAGUGUUAUAGACUGGCAUGGUGUUUUUGUGUGGGUUUUUUUUUGGUCUCAGUUCUACAGCCCACAGCUAUGGAGCUAGAGUUUAAGGUGGUCCAUGCAUGUCCCUGUACAAUCCACACCUACCCCUGCAGAGAGGCUUGGUGUCUUGGGAUGAAUAGAGAGACCUCUUAGCUGGCUGUCCCCCUGGGGUAGGCCUAGGACAGACUCAUGAUUUGGCUCUUCCCUGCGAGGUCCUUGGCUGGGGACUUGGCCUGUGUUCAGUGGAAAGGUGCCCUGUACUGUGUUUUACUAGAUGAGUAAUAAGAUAUUCCUCGCACUUGCACUCCCUCAGGUACAGUUGCCAAACUUUUCUUUCUUCAGAGCCUGAUUAUUUUGUCUAAAUGGUGAGCUGAUUCCCUAAACCUGAAAUUUCUGAGAAUGAAAGUUAUUCCAGGGGGGUUAUAAGAACUAAAUGAAUCACUUUAGGUUUUCCAGGGAGAGCAGACAUUUGGAGACAAAAACGGCACAAAGAGAUCAAAGUACUACAUGUAAAACAGCAUGAGACACACUGGCCACCCCCAUCUGCAGUGCCUUUGCAGCAGGUCUACUUUUAGACCCGCGCUUUCCUUCCUCUACGUACUUUACAUUCUAGAAACAGUGGGAACCAGGGAUCUCAGCAUUGCUGUGGUGUCUGAAUGGCCAAAAUAUCCAGAUUUCACUUCUUUCUCUGCAACUAAAACUCCCUUUCAGGAUCCACAGUGGGCAGUUUCCAGCUCUGUUGGGGGACAUAAGGCAUCCUCAGCCAGAGGAGAGGGACUAACAAAGCUGAGGAACCUACUGGCCGUAACUAGUAAAACUCCCCAUUUGACCCCAUCCUUCUUAAAAAUUACUGAUCUACAAAGAAAUCCAUUUCUAACCACCUCAAUGUGUACUGAACCAGGAAUUGAAUGACCUAGGGCAGUGAUGGCAAACCUAUGACACGCGUGUCAGAGCUGACACACGAACUCAUUUUUUUGGUUGAUUUUUCU